ACAGGGGUCUGAGGUUGAUCCCGGAGGCGCGAGGAGUCGGUACGGGUCACGGUUGUCCCGGCCCCUGAGGCGCAGGCCUAUCAGCCUCCUGUGUCUUAAGCAGAGUGGAGACGGGGGUGGAUCCAGGCGCACCAGUUCCACGCCACAGGCUUCUGCAGUUCCUGCAAACUGUUCCCAUCCCGCCCCGCGUUGCACGUCGGGAUUUGGAGUUCGCGAUGCUGAGAGCUGUUUCCACGUGGCGAUUCCGACUUGACCCGUCGUGCUCCGGCGCCCGCCUAGGGGGACCGAGGAGUUUGUCAUUUCUUGCCUCGUUAGGGUGCGGAACGAAAACCAUUUGAUUUAUCCUAGAAAAGGAAAGGCUGAAGCCAACUAAGUAAAAGUUUUCCAUUAAAUG
rnacentral:lncRNA from 10 species